GGGAGAAAGGAGCGGACAGAAUUCACAAAUCUCGGAUAGAGGUACUCAUGGAGUUCCUGACUCAAUAGACUUGCCAACUGCUGGCUGGGACGAUGGUUGGUCAGCCGGAAAGACACAGUCAGGGAGGUCGGAGUCUUCAAUCAAUCCUGCUGCCAGGUACAAUGGUGAUCCUGUAAGAGACCAGUGCGGAAUGGGAUGUUAUAAAUCUCAGCUGAGGCUUGCGGCCUACCAUUACCUGGGAGUCACUAAGGGAGAGAAUCUGAGAGAGAGCAGCACAAAGCGGGAGAAUAUAAAUCAGCAGCGAGGGUCAAGGCCGACUGGGACUUGGAUCUGGAGAAACAGCAGAGCAGGAGGCUGGAAAUCAGCACCGAGUCACAGAGGGAGUGACCGUGGGAGGGAGCAACUUGGAGCAGGAGCUUGAGGCUGACUCACACCUGGGAGAAUAUAAAUCAGCACUGAGGAUCGAGGCCUCGCUGUACCUGGGAGUGACAGAGACGGUGACCCUUUACUCAGGAAAGUCCUGACUCAAUAGCCUUCCCAGCUGCUGGGUGGAUUGUCCAUCACCACAUUGAACGCAGUUGGUCUGCCAGAGGGAGACAAAGGGCAGGGAGAUCUGGAGCCUUCAAUAAAUCCUGUAGCGAGGUAUUCCUGAUGUCCCUGACUCAGCAGAAUUCCCAAUUCCUUCUCGUCCAUCACCACAUUGAAGCUGGUUGGUCAGCCAGAGAGAGAUGGAGAGUGAGAUCUGGAGCCUUCAGUAAAUCCUGCAGCCGGUACUCAGGAGGUUCCUGAAUCAAUAGACUUCCCAACUGCUGUGUGUCUCAUCCAUCACCUCAUUGAAGAUGGUUGGUCAGCCAGGGAGACAAAGGGCAGGGAGAUCUGGAGCCUUCAAUAAAUCCUGCAGUGAGGUAAUCAGGAUGUUCCUAACUCCUGUCUCAUCCAUCACCUCAUUGAAGCUGGUUGGUCAGCCAGAGAGAGAGAGAGAGAUAGAGAGAGGGAGACCUGGAGCCUUCAGUCAAUCCUGCAGCCGGUACUCAGGAAAGUGCUGACUCCAUAGACUUCCCAAUUGCUGGGUGUCUCGUCCAACACCUCAUUGAAGUUGAUUGGUCAGCCAGAGAGACAAAGGGCAGAGAGAUCUGGAGCCUUCAAUAAAUCCUGCA